rnacentral:rRNA from 1 species
GUGCCAGCCGCCGCGGUAAUACCGGCAGCUCAAGUGAUGUCCCAUAUUAUUGGGCCUAAAGCGUCCGUAGCUGGCCGACCAAGUCUCCCGGGAAAUCCACCCGCCCAACGGGUGGGCGUCCGGUAGAAACUGGCCGGCUUGGAACCGGAAGGCUCAGAGAGUACGUCCGGGGUAGGAGUGAAAUCCCGUAAUCCCGGACGGACUACCGAUGGCGAAAGCACUCUGAGAAGACGGCUUCGACUGUGAGGGGCGAAAGCUAAGAUCGCGAACCGGAUUAGAAACCAGUAGUCC